rnacentral:misc_RNA from 1 species
AACCUAGCACACCUGCGGUGUGUACCUGCGGAGGGAUCAUUACCGAGUUUACGAACUCCCAACCCUUUGUGAACCUUACCAUAUUGUUGCUUCGGCGGGACCGCCCCGGCGCCUUCGGGCCCGGAACCAGGCGCCCGCCGGAGGCCCCAAACUCUUAUGUCUUUAGUGGUUUUCUCCUCUGAGUGACACAUAAACAAAUAAAUAAAAACUUUCAACAACGGAUCUCAGAUCGGAAGAGCA